AUUUCAUCUGAUUUCAUUAAAGAAAAGCACCGACCUCCCACACUGCGUGCCUCUUAUCCCGUCUCCACUCUGCUUCUCUUAUCCAGAUCGCCAUUCCUCAUCUCAUCCUAUCUAGCGCUGGUUCUCUUCCUCCUCUCCAUCCAACCCAGCCAGAACAACCGCACGUGCGCGGGCCCGUGAUGGUUGGGCCAGAGCCAGGGCAGCACAUGGCGAAGAACCUGAGGACGCCAUGGCUGGCGCCUUGGAGCUCCCCUACCCUGCCGUCGGCCUAAUCUGGUCGUCCGCCCCAGUCACCGGCCCCGUGCUUCUGAUCUGGCCAAAUCGACAUGCCGCGCCCUCGCAUGCAUCGACCUAGCAGCACGCUCCUUUCUCCUUCCUCUCUCCCUUCCCUGCUUCUCAGUUCUUUCUCUUUUCCUUGGCCAUGCAGGGAGCACCCGCAGGGAGCCUCGCCGUUGCUGCCAUCACCCGGACAUGUCGCGCCGCCGUCUCCUCCGACCCGGACAUGUCGCGCCGCCACCUCCUCCGAGUUCGCCGGCCGCUGGCGCUCGUCCUCCCCUGCAACCCCUGCCUCGCCAUGCGUGAGGACAAUGAUGUCAGCAUGCCUCCAUCGACCGUCCCGGGCCGUCCUUCUCGCCUCGCUCGCGUGGGCCGCACUGCGCGCGGGCAAGCCGGCCCUUGCCGGUGGAAGUGUCGGGUGCCGCUCGGGCUAGGUGAUGGCGACCCGGACUCUUCUUUGUGUUCGUUCUUUAUUAUCCCAUCUUUCUUCACCGAAGAUGUUGAAUCUGAUGCUGCUGAUUGUAAGCUCCUAUUAUUGCAGAGUUUAUUUAUUCCUUUGCUCCCUCACUUGCGGGAUUAAUUCCUUUGUUUGGAGAGGCGACAUCGAGGAAGAGGCCGGGGUUGCGGAGGACAACGACGCAGCUUGGCUGGGGCCUCGGGGUGGCGCGCGGAGAUGCGCGAUGGGCGCUGCUGGUGGUCGCCGGCGACGGCGGGUGGAGAAGGAAAAAAUAGAAAAAAAGUCGUUCUAUGCAGGACCAAGCCCAGCAACGAAACUAACGAAUCUAGGAGUUAGGUAAACGAUUUUCGUACGAUGUAACGAAGAACAAACCGCGGCGGAGCAAUAAUACCACCUCGGAUGUAGAAAAUAAUGUAGGUGAAAAAAAAAUUGAAAGCGUAAAUUCAUAGGAAGAAACAUAUUAUGACGGUGAACCCAUGGAGUCAAUCUGUACUUUAUUAUUAGGGAAAGAUCGUUUGCUUCAAACUAAGAACUAACUUUAUUA
rnacentral:rRNA from 1 species